GACGAACGCUGGCGGCGUGCUUAACACAUGCAAGUCGAACGGAAAGGCCCUGCUUUUGUGGGGUGCUCGAGUGGCGAACGGGUGAGUAACACGUGAGUAACCUGCCCUUGACAUUGGGAUAACUUCAGGAAACUGGGGCUAAUACCGGAUAGGAGCUCCUGCUGCAUGGUGGGGGUUGGAAAGUUUCGGCUGUUGGGGAUGGACUCGCGGCUUAUCAGCUUGUUGGUGGGGUAAUGGCUUACCAAGGCUUUGACGGGUAGCCGGCCUGAGAGGGUGACCGGCCACAUUGGGACUGCGAUACGGCCCAGACUCCUACGGGCGGCAGCAGUGGAGAAUAUUGCACAAUGGGCGGAAGCCUGAUGCAGCAACGCCGCGUGCGGGAUGACGGCCUUCGGGUUGUAAACCGCUUUCGCCUGUAACGAAGCGUGAGUGACGGUAAUGGGUAAAGAAGCACCGGCUAACUACGUG
rnacentral:rRNA from 1 species